rnacentral:rRNA from 1 species
UCGUCAGCUCGUGUCGUGAGAUGUUGGGUUAAGUCCCGCAACGAGCGCCACACUUGCCUUUAGUUGCCAGCAUUAAGUUGGGCACUCUAGAGGGAAUAAACAGAGAUAACCUGGAGGAAGGUGGGGAUGACGUCAAAUCAUCAUGCCCCUUAUGCUUAGGGCUACACACGUGCUACAAUGGGUGGUACAGAGGGCAGCCAAGUCGUGAGGCGGAGCUAAUCCCUUAAAGCCAUUCUCAGUUCGGAUUGUAGGCUGAAACUCGCCUACAUGAAGCUGGAGUUACUAGUAAUCGCAGAUCAGAAUGCUGCGGUGAAUGCGUUCCCGGGUCUUGUACACACCGCCCGUCACACCACGGAAGUUGGGGGCGCCCGAAGCCGGAUUGCUAACCUUUUGGAAGCGUCCGUCGAAGGUGAAAACAAUAACUGGGGUGAAGUCGUAACAAGGUAGCCGUA